GCUGACAGACACAACACUCUCUGUGCUGCGUGGGGGUAAUGGACUGCAGAAACAAAUGGCUGCUAGCCACACCAAGUGUAACCCAUCUCACCCUGGCCCUUUGCCUGUGCAAAAGAUCUGAUACCCACUUUUGAAAAAGUAAAGAUCACAGCAAACUGUAUUCUACAAAGGAAUAUGGAAAAUUAGAACCAAACUUUUUUUUCAGUUUCCUUUUUUUUUUUCCAUUGGAUAUUUUCUUUACAUUUCAAAUGUUAUCUCCUUUCCCAGUCUCCCACCACACCCAUCUGGAAACCCUCUAUCCCAUCCUCUCUCCCCCUGCUUCUGUGAAAGUAUUCCUCCACUCACCCACCCACUCCCACCUCCCCGCCCUCAGUUCCCCUACACUGGGGCAUCUAUUGAGCCUUCAUAGAACCAAGGACCUCUCCUCCCAUUGAUGAAUGACAAGGCCCUCCUCUGCAACAUAUGCAGCUGGAGCCAUGUGUACUCCUUUGUUGAUGGCUUAGUCCCUGGGAGCUCUUGGGAGACUGGUUGGUUGAUAAUGUUGUUCUUCCUGUGGGGUUGCAAUCCCCUUCAACUCCUUCGGUCCUUUCUCUUACUCCUCUAUUGGGGACCCCGCGCUCAGUCCAGUGGUUGGCUAUGAGCAUCUGUCUUUGUAUUUGUAAUGCUCUGGCAGGACCUCGCAGGAGAUAGCCAUAUCAGGCUCCUCUAUGCACUUCAUGGCAUCCACAAUAGUGUCUGGGCUUGGUAACUGUAUAUGGGAUGAAUCCCCAGGUGGGACAGUCUCUGGGUGGCCUUUCCUUCAGUUUCUGCUCUAGAUUUUAUCUCCAUAUUUGCUCCUGUGAGUAUUUUGUUCUCCAAAGAAGGACCGAAGUACCCAUUUUGGUCUUCCUUCUUGAACUUCAUGUGGUCUGUGAAUUGUCUUGGUUUAUUUGGAGCUUCUGAGCUAAUAUCCAUUUAUCAGUGAGUGCAUAUCAUGUGUGUUCUUUUGUGAUUGGGUUACCUCACUCAGGAUGAUGUUUUCUAAUUCUAUCCAUUUGCCUAAGAAUUUCAUGAAUUCAUCAUUUUUAAUAGCUAAGUAGUACUCCAUUGUGUAAAUGUACCACAUUUUCUGUAUCCAUUCCUCUGUUGAAGGACAUCUGGGUUCUUUCCAGCUCUUGGCUAUUAUAAAUAAGGCUGCUAUGAACAUAGUGGAGCAUGUGUCCUUAUUACAUGUUGGAGCAUCUUCUGGGUGUAUGCCCAGGAGUGGUAUAGCUGGGUCCUCAGUGAAUAGUAGUAUUAUGUCCAAUUUUCUGAGGAACUGCCAAACUGAUUUCCAGAGUAGAACCAAACAUUAUGAUAGGUGAUCUGGUCACCUUUACUUGGAGAUGAGCAAACCAGGGGCCAGGUUAUAGUUUCCUGGGUCUUAAUCUUCCAUAGUCUUUUCUGGAUGUCCCCGGCUGUGGCAGUGAUGUCACAUGCAGCUUAGAAACCCAUCUGUAGAGUCAGCAUGCAGUUACCAGCCAGAGGACCGUCUCCAUGGCAUGUUCCACUUCCAUGCUGUUGUUUUUCACGUGUGAAUCAUCUCGUGCUUCACUUCCAUGUUACUUCCUACAUCCAUCCCAGUAAUUAAGUGAACAAUGACAUUUCUAAGUUCUAUUUAACUUUCUUAUUAAGGAAGAUUUAGUGGUUAAAAGCCUCCAAAAAUACUCUGUGAAAAAAAAUGAUCAAAUGUUGAUGUUCUGCAAUAGGAUUAGUAUACAUAGAAGCAUAUCUCCAUCUGCCCUCGAUUCUAGCAGGGAAUGCUGUAGUCAUUAAUCAACUGUGCGAAUCAAAUGAAGAAGCAGAAUUCUGGCAACAUCCUGAAUACUUAGCCUCCAGAGACUGAGAGAUAUUGAUGGCGAGGAACCAGCAAAGGUUUCGUGGCUUUUGUGUUUAACUAUCUUAAAAGCAUAUUUUCACUGUGUUAUUUUCUUCAGUCCUGGUCAUUGUUGGAUUAAAAUAAAAUGUUAGUUGUGGAUUUAAAAUAAAAUCCUAGUUACUCUGUGGAAGACU
rnacentral:lncRNA from 1 species